UUAAGCGACUAAGCGUACACGGUGGAUGCCCUGGCAGUCAGAGGCGAUGAAGGACGUGCUAAUCUGCGAUAAGCGUCGGUAAGGUGAUAUGAACCGUUAUAACCGGCGAUUUCCGAAUGGGGAAACCCAGUGUGUUUCGACACACUAUCAUUAACUGAAUCCAUAGGUUAAUGAGGCGAACCGGGGGAACUGAAACAUCUAAGUACCCCGAGGAAAAGAAAUCAACCGAGAUUCCCCCAGUAGCGGCGAGCGAACGGGGAGCAGCCCAGAGCCUGAAUCAGUGUGUGUGUUAGUGGAAGCGUCUGGAAAGGCGCGCGAUACAGGGUGACAGCCCCGUACACAAAAAUGCACAUGCUGUGAGCUCGAUGAGUAGGGCGGGACACGUGGUAUCCUGUCUGAAUAUGGGGGGACCAUCCUCCAAGGCUAAAUACUCCUGACUGACCGAUAGUGAACCAGUACCGUGAGGGAAAGGCGAAAAGAACCCCGGCGAGGGGAGUGAAAAAGAACCUGAAACCGUGUACGUACAAGCAGUGGGAGCACGCUUAGGCGUGUGACUGCGUACCUUUUGUAUAAUGGGUCAGCGACUUAUAUUCUGUAGCAAGGUUAACCGAAUAGGGGAGCCGAAGGGAAACCGAGUCUUAACUGGGCGUUAAGUUGCAGGGUAUAGACCCGAAACCCGGUGAUCUAGCCAUGGGCAGGUUGAAGGUUGGGUAACACUAACUGGAGGACCGAACCGACUAAUGUUGAAAAAUUAGCGGAUGACUUGUGGCUGGGGGUGAAAGGCCAAUCAAACCGGGAGAUAGCUGGUUCUCCCCGAAAGCUAUUUAGGUAGCGCCUCGUGAAUUCAUCUCCGGGGGUAGAGCACUGUUUCGGCAAGGGGGUCAUCCCGACUUACCAACCCGAUGCAAACUGCGAAUACCGGAGAAUGUUAUCACGGGAGACACACGGCGGGUGCUAACGUCCGUCGUGAAGAGGGAAACAACCCAGACCGCCAGCUAAGGUCCCAAAGUCAUGGUUAAGUGGGAAACGAUGUGGGAAGGCCCAGACAGCCAGGAUGUUGGCUUAGAAGCAGCCAUCAUUUAAAGAAAGCGUAAUAGCUCACUGGUCGAGUCGGCCUGCGCGGAAGAUGUAACGGGGCUAAACCAUGCACCGAAGCUGCGGCAGCGACGCUGAUGCGUUGUUGGGUAGGGGAGCGUUCUGUAAGCCUGCGAAGGUGUGCUGUGAGGCAUGCUGGAGGUAUCAGAAGUGCGAAUGCUGACAUAAGUAACGAUAAAGCGGGUGAAAAGCCCGCUCGCCGGAAGACCAAGGGUUCCUGUCCAACGUUAAUCGGGGCAGGGUGAGUCGACCCCUAAGGCGAGGCCGAAAGGCGUAGUCGAUGGGAAACAGGUUAAUAUUCCUGUACUUGGUGUUACUGCGAAGGGGGGACGGAGAAGGCUAUGUUGGCCGGGCGACGGUUGUCCCGGUUUAAGCGUGUAGGCUGGUUUUCCAGGCAAAUCCGGAAAAUCAAGGCUGAGGCGUGAUGACGAGGCACUACGGUGCUGAAGCAACAAAUGCCCUGCUUCCAGGAAAAGCCUCUAAGCAUCAGGUAACAUCAAAUCGUACCCCAAACCGACACAGGUGGUCAGGUAGAGAAUACCAAGGCGCUUGAGAGAACUCGGGUGAAGGAACUAGGCAAAAUGGUGCCGUAACUUCGGGAGAAGGCACGCUGAUAUGUAGGUGAAGUCCCUCGCGGAUGGAGCUGAAAUCAGUCGAAGAUACCAGCUGGCUGCAACUGUUUAUUAAAAACACAGCACUGUGCAAACACGAAAGUGGACGUAUACGGUGUGACGCCUGCCCGGUGCCGGAAGGUUAAUUGAUGGGGUUAGCCGCAAGGCGAAGCUCUUGAUCGAAGCCCCGGUAAACGGCGGCCGUAACUAUAACGGUCCUAAGGUAGCGAAAUUCCUUGUCGGGUAAGUUCCGACCUGCACGAAUGGCGUAAUGAUGGCCAGGCUGUCUCCACCCGAGACUCAGUGAAAUUGAACUCGCUGUGAAGAUGCAGUGUACCCGCGGCAAGACGGAAAGACCCCGUGAACCUUUACUAUAGCUUGACACUGAACAUUGAGCCUUGAUGUGUAGGAUAGGUGGGAGGCUUAGAAGUGUGGACGCCAGUCUGCAUGGAGCCGACCUUGAAAUACCACCCUUUAAUGUUUGAUGUUCUAACGUUGACCCGUAAUCCGGGUUGCGGACAGUGUCUGGUGGGUAGUUUGACUGGGGCGGUCUCCUCCUAAAGAGUAACGGAGGAGCACGAAGGUUGGCUAAUCCUGGUCGGACAUCAGGAGGUUAGUGCAAUGGCAUAAGCCAGCUUGACUGCGAGCGUGACGGCGCGAGCAGGUGCGAAAGCAGGUCAUAGUGAUCCGGUGGUUCUGAAUGGAAGGGCCAUCGCUCAACGGAUAAAAGGUACUCCGGGGAUAACAGGCUGAUACCGCCCAAGAGUUCAUAUCGACGGCGGUGUUUGGCACCUCGAUGUCGGCUCAUCACAUCCUGGGGCUGAAGUAGGUCCCAAGGGUAUGGCUGUUCGCCAUUUAAAGUGGUACGCGAGCUGGGUUUAGAACGUCGUGAGACAGUUCGGUCCCUAUCUGCCGUGGGCGCUGGAGAACUGAGGGGGGCUGCUCCUAGUACGAGAGGACCGGAGUGGACGCAUCACUGGUGUUCGGGUUGUCAUGCCAAUGGCACUGCCCGGUAGCUAAAUGCGGAAGAGAUAAGUGCUGAAAGCAUCUAAGCACGAAACUUGCCCCGAGAUGAGUUCUCCCUGACUCCUUGAGAGUCCUGAAGGAACGUUGAAGACGACGACGUUGAUAGGCCGGGUGUGUAAGCGCAGCGAUGCGUUGAGCUAACCGGUACUAAUGAACCGUGAGGCUUAACCUU
rnacentral:rRNA from 2 species